AUUGAACGCUGGCGGCAGGCCUAACACAUGCAAGUCGAACGGUAACAGGAAGCAGCUUGCUGCUUUGCUGACGAGUGGCGGACGGGUGAGUAAUGUCUGGGAAACUGCCUGAUGGAGGGGGAUAACUACUGGAAACGGUAGCUAAUACCGCAUAACGUCGCAAGACCAAAGAGGGGGACCUUCGGGCCUCUUGCCAUCGGAUGUGCCCAGAUGGGAGUAGCUAGUAGGUGGGGUAACGGCUCACCUAGGCGACGAUCCCUAGCUGGUCUGAGAGGAUGACCAGCCACACUGGAACUGAGACACGGUCCAGACUCCUACGGGAGGCAGCAGUGGGGAAUAUUGCACAAUGGGCGCGAGCCUGAUGCAGCCAUGCCGCGUGUAUGAAGAAGGCCUUCGGGUUGUAAAGUACUUUCAGCGGGGGGGAAGGGAGUAAAGUUAAUACCUUUGCUCAUUGACGUUACCCGCAGAAGAAGCACCGGCUAACUCCGUG
rnacentral:rRNA from 1 species